rnacentral:lncRNA from 1 species
GGCAAUAUAUAGCCACGUUCACGUGCGUCUCCUGGAACAGGUUUAAAAAAGGAAUUGAAAAAAUGGAAAAUAUUUGCAGCACACAGGGGUGUGACCACACCCCCUUCUGUACUGCCACAUAGUGUAUUUUUCCAGAACAGAAAACCACAAGGAGAGGAUGACAAUUAAACAAGAAAUGAGAAUUAAUUUGAAAAGUUUGUAGGGGAGAAGACGCGAGGGGAAGUUUUGAAAGUGGUGAACAGCUGGAGUUCUGAAAACACCCAAACAGACGGGCUGCGGAGCUGAGAACAAACUGCCAGCCAGAGCGGAACGGUGCGGACUGCGGGACAGGAAGGUCACUGCCAAACAGAUGAAAGAGCCUCAGUGGCAGCUUCCUUGGGCUGUUGGAGUUAAAAGGCAACGGUCCACACAGGCUUGUCGAAAGCAACUGGAAUAACUGGACAUGGCAAAAACGAAAUGAAGAGAAGUUGUCGAACAUCCCGAAGAUCACCUUAACUCAUAAUCAAGUCUGAAACAGAACAAAUUUGGCACAGUGUGUGCGGCUCGUGCCAAGCGGUGAUGCGGCGUUCGCUUCCGGAAGGUUCUGGACAGAACCUCGGGGCAGGGUUCCUAAGUUGAUGAAAGGAGUAACGGGAGUGUCGCGCUGUCAGGACAAAGCGAUGCCUCAAGGUCUGCAGAUUGAC